CCUACGGGAGGCUGCAGUGGGGAAUAUUGCACAAUGGGCGCAAGCCUGAUGCAGCCAUGCCGCGUGUGUGAAGAAGGCCUUCGGGUUGUAAAGCACUUUCAGCGGAGAGGAAGGCGUUAAGGUUAAUAACCUUGGCGAUUGACGUUACCCGCAGAAGAAGCACCGGCUAACUCCGUGGCCAGCAGCCGCGGUAAUACGGAGGGUGCAAGCGUUAAUCGGAAUUACUGGGCGUAAAGCGCACGCAGGCGGUCUGUCAAGUCGGAUGUGAAAUCCCCGGGCUCAACCUGGGAACUGCAUUCGAAACUGGCAGGCUAGAGUCUUGUAGAGGGGGGUAGAAUUCCAGGUGUAGCGGUGAAAUGCGUAGAGAUCUGGAGGAAUACCGGUGGCGAAGGCGGCCCCCUGGACAAAGACUGACGCUCAGGUGCGAAAGCGUGGGGAGCAAACAGGAUUAGAUACCCCUGUAGUC
rnacentral:rRNA from 1 species